CCUACGGGGGGCUGCAGUGGGGAAUAUUGGACAAUGGGCGCAAGCCUGAUCCAGCCAUGCCGCGUGAGUGAUGAAGGCCCUAGGGUUGUAAAGCUCUUUUGUGCGGGAAGAUAAUGACUGUACCGCAAGAAUAAGCCCCGGCUAACUUCGUGCCAGCAGCCGCGGUAAUACGAAGGGGGCUAGCGUUGCUCGGAAUCACUGGGCGUAAAGCGCACGUAGGCGGACUCUUAAGUCGGUGGUGAAAUCCUGGAGCUCAACUCCAGAACUGCCUUCGAUACUGGGAGUCUCGAGUUCGGGAGAGGUGAGUGGAACUGCGAGUGUAGAGGUGAAAUUCGUAGAUAUUCGCAAGAACACCAGUGGCGAAGGCGGCUCACUGGCCCGAUACUGACGCUGAGGUGCGAAAGCGUGGGGAGCAAACAGGAUUAGAUACCCGUGUAGUC
rnacentral:rRNA from 1 species